UACGGAGGGUGCAAGCGUUAUCCGGAUUCACUGGGUUUAAAGGGUGCGUAGGCGGGCGAGUAAGUCAGUGGUGAAAUCUCCGGGCUUAACCUGGAAACUGCCAUUGAUACUAUUUGUCUUGAAUACCGUGGAGGUGAGCGGAAUAUGUCAUGUAGCGGUGAAAUGCUUAGAGAUGACAUAGAACACCAAUUGCGAAGGCAGCUCACUACCCGGUUAUUGACGCUGAGGCACGAAAGCGUGGGGAUCAAACAGG
rnacentral:rRNA from 1 species